UACGUAGGGUGCAAGCGUUGUCCGGAAUUAUUGGGCGUAAAGAGCUCGUAGGCGGUCUGUCGCGUCGGCUGUGAAAACUCGGGGCUCAACUCCGAGCCUGCAGUCGAUACGGGCAGGCUAGAGUUCGGCAGGGGAGACUGGAAUUCCUGGUGUAGCGGUGAAAUGCGCAGAUAUCAGGAGGAACACCGAUGGCGAAGGCAGCUCGCUGGGACGGUACUGACGCUGAGGCGCGAAAGCGUGGGGAGCAAACAGG
rnacentral:rRNA from 1 species